rnacentral:rRNA from 1 species
UAGGGAAUCUUGCACAAUGGGCGAAAGCCUGAUGGUGCGACGCCGCGUGGAGGAUGACAGCCCUAGGGUUGUAAACUCCUGUCAUGAGAGAGUAAAGACUUAACGUUAAUACCGUUGGGUCCUGAUAGUAUCUCAAGAGGAAGGGACGGCUAACUUCGUGCCAGCAGCCGCGGUAAUACGAAGGUCCCAAGCGUUGUUCGGAAUUACUGGGCGUAAAGCGUGCGUAGGCGGCAUGGUAAGUCAGAUGUGAAAUCCCGGGGCUCAACCUCGGAACUGCAUCCGAUACUGCCAAGCUAGAGUAGUGGAGGGGAGUCUGGAAUUCACGGUGUAGCAGUGAAAUGCGUAGAUAUCGUGAGGAACACUAGUGGCGAAGGCGAGACUCUGGACACUAACUGACGCUGAGGCACGAAGGCUAGGGUAGCGAAAGGG